rnacentral:rRNA from 1 species
UACGUAGGGUGUGAGCGUUGUCCGGAAUUAUUGGGCGUAAAGAGCUUGUAGGCGGUCUGUCGCGUCUGCUGUGAAAAUCCGGGGCUCAACCCCGGACUUGCAGUGGGUACGGGCAGACUAGAGUGUGGUAGGGGAGACUGGAAUUCCUGGUGUAGCGGUGAAAUGCGCAGAUAUCAGGAGGAACACCGAUGGCGAAGGCAGGUCUCUGGGCCACUACUGACGCUGAGAAGCGAAAGCAUGGGGAGCGAACAGG